CGAGCACGCGCGUGUGGCAUAUCAAUAAGCGGAGGAAAAGAAACUAACAAGGAUUCCCUUAGUAACGGCGAGUGAAGCGGGAAGAGCUCAAAUUUGAAAUCUUCAAGGUUCUACCUUGACGAAUUGUAGUUUAUAGAAGUGUUUUCUGUUAGUGGAGUGGCAAAAGUUCUUUGGAAUAGGACAUCAUAGAGGGUGAGAAUCCCGUAUUUGGUCAUUCCUCCUAGCGUUGUGAUACACUUUCAACGAGUCGGAUUGUUUGGGAAUGCAGUCCAAAAUGGGUGGUAAAUUUCAUCUAAAGCUAAAUAUUGGCGAGAGACCGAUAGCGAACAAGUACCGUGAGGGAAAGAUGAAAAGAACUUUGAAAAGAGAGUUAAACAGUACGUGAAAUUGUCAAAAGGGAAGGCGUUUGACACCAGUGUUGUUUUUCCGAAAAUCAAUUACGAAUGUUUUGUUUUUAAGGAGUUAUGACUUCAUCGGCUUGCUUCUCUCUUUACGAAACUUUCUUAAUGCACUUUUCGGUUAACAAGUCAACAUCAAUUUCUUUUGUUGUAAAAGGGUAUGAGGAAGGUGGCUUUCUUUUCGGAGAAAGUGUUUAUAGCCUUGUGACCUCUGCAAUCGGAGAGAUUGAGGUCUGCAGCGUAGAUCCUUCGGGGUUAGAUACAUUUGUGCUAAGUUAUAGCUUGUCAUAGACAACUUGUUGACUAUGUUAAGUCAUUGUAGCUUACUCGCUUAUGCUAUUUUACCUACGCUUAGGAUGUUGAACUCUAUCACACACAG
rnacentral:rRNA from 1 species